UACAGAGGUCCCAAGCGUUGUUCGGAUUCAUUGGGCGUAAAGGGUGCGUAGGUGGCGCUGUAGGUGGGGUGUGAAAUCCCGGGGCUUAACCCCGGGACUGCAUUCCAUACUGCAGUGCUUGAGGACUGGAGAGGAGACUGGAAUUUACGGUGUAGCAGUGAAAUGCGUAGAGAUCGUAAGGAAGACCAGUGGCGAAGGCGGGUCUCUGGACAGUUCCUGACACUGAGGCACGAAGGCCAGGGGAGCAAACGGG
rnacentral:rRNA from 1 species